UUGUAGCAAGAACUGUUCACUUGUUUGUCAGUGACAAGUAACAUGCAGUGUUGCCAACUCCUCAGUAAGGAAAGUAGCUAUUGGCUGUCCUAAAAGUCGCUAAAUGACGUCAUCGCCUAAUUUGCAUAAUUGGCCAUGUGCAUGUAAUUGUGAUGGACGCUGUAGGAGAGAGGAAUAACUUCGUGGGAGAGACAAAAAGUGAGUAAAAGACACCCUAAAUAUGUUUAGGCCUACAAAUGAGCAAGCUGCAGAGAGUGGCACACACAGCGAAUAAGAACCAGAUAUUUGAGGCCAUUCCUUCAGCACUUUAUGGACCCCAUUGUUAAUCCCCGUCAUAACAGAGGCAUUGUCAGUCCCUAUCCCCAGGAGUUUCUUUUUUAAGACAACACUUCGAGGAAAGCCACAACAGCACAGGCUAUAGAUUUGGCAUCUCCUCCCUCCAACUCAACAAGCCCCAGAAAUGUUGAUACAAUUGUCUGCUUGGUUUUACUAAAGUAUCUUAUCACAACCCCCAGGUACUUAGAAACACUUACAUCCGUGGACUCAUCGAGGAGGAGGCUGAAACGCUGGUCACCCACAUCUGCGACCAACUUUUUCAGAAAGUAUGGUUGAUCAACAGUGUGUAUGUCACCUGCUGAACCUAAUUGCAACAGAUUCUGCGUUGGCAUAAACAAAUAGUGAUAGCUACAAAAGGUUGUCCAGGCCGUCUUUUGUCAAUGCCAUGUGGAAUAAAAACGGGCUGGUCAACCUUAGCUAAUGAAGUUGUAGAGAAUGAGUGCAAACUGCAGUUGAUCCAUCCAAAACAAGUUGGAAAUCAACUUACCUGGCUGUGGAGAGGAUCACACAUAUCAUACAAGAGAAGGGGGAGGAUGCCAUAAGAAAUGUGAGAAGAAUUAAAAGUGAAAAUGCUGAGCCCGCAGAAAUGUCCUUCUUGAAUGAAUACUGCAAAGUGAUGACGCCUUUGGUCUCAGCUUUGAACAUUCUACAGCCUGAGACUAACACGCAUAUGAGGUGGCUGCUGCCAGUGAUCUUCUUACUAAAAACAAAACUUCAAAGGCGGGAAGCAUCUUGCCAAAUGUGCCUACCACUUAUCAGAGCCAUUCAGAACGGUCUCCAAAAGCUCUUUGGAGAAAUGAUGGAGGAGCCACAGCUUCUUGCUGCUGUAAUCCUUCUUCCAAAGUUCAAGACGUCUUAGACUGACAAAGCUGAUGUCAUCACAGCCGGUUUGGCGUACCUGAACAAUCAUCUUGACACAAUCACUCAGGACGAGACUGAGCAUCUAAGGCAGCAUUCUUCUGAUGAAGAGAAUUUUCUUCUCAUCACUGACAACCAAACGGUCAGAAGGUACAGGGGAGCUGGAUGGGUAUCUUGCUAGUCCAUCGGACAAAAUGGAUUUGCUUCAUUUGUUUCCAUACAUAAAGAAGUUGUCCCUCAAACUCAACACAGACCUGCCUGCAUCUGCCGCCUGUGAGCAUCUUUUUAGCUGUGCUGGACUACUCUUCACUGCAAAGCGAGCCAGGAUAGACUCAAUUAACUUAGAAAAUCAGCUCCCACUGAAACUGAAUGGUAAAUUCAGAGAAGAAAUGAAGUGAGUUAACAUUCGUAUAUGUGAAGUUGAAGAUUUAAUAUUAAAAAUCAGCUGUGGUGGAUCUUA